CUCUCUUGACCACUUCUAUCUCUCUCCUCUCCCUCUCCACCUAGAUCCACGUGACAGGUGAUUGACGGCUCCCACGCCAGGCCGGGCUGCUCCUAGAGGCGCAAUUCGUGGUAUUCGUUCGAUGAUACUCCGAUCCCGAGUAGUACGCGUGGUGGCUGCGCAUGUUCACUGCCAACCUGGCACACCCCACAACGCACUAGGCACUGGACCCCACCGCACGGUCGCAGUACCUCGCCGUGAAGAACCUCAUGAGCGAUGAGAGGAAUGUGAUGGCGAGGGCCGAUUCGGACAAUUUCAUAGCCAUCAUCACGCAGGUGGAGAGCUUGCAAGAGCUCGGUUUAGCUAUUUGGAGCUCAAAGUUUGUGGAGGAUCAUCUAUCCAGAAAACUCUGAUCAAGGAAACAGCUUCUUGUGGCGCUGCACAUUUGAUCCUCGGUGUUGCAAAGAAUUCUCUGUUGUAUUAUUGCUAUCGAACUAUCUGAUGAAUGUUUAAUUUGUGCAAA